rnacentral:rRNA from 1 species
AUGGCUAGUCCCCUAUCUUCUCCGUCGUCUCCCAAGAAUGAAAUUCUAAAUUUUAAGCAAAGGGAGGGUGAAAAUCUAAAAGAUGCUUGGUAUAGAAUUUGCAAUGCUCAAAAUAAAUCUGCUAGGAAGCAAUCUACUACCAUUCUCCUUCGCAAUUUUUAUGUAGGCAUUACUCCUUGGCACCGUUAUGUUCUUGAUACUAUUACCGGAGGGAAUUUUUUGGGUAGUCAUACUUUUGAUUCUUAUAAUGCUAUGUUAGAUUUAUUUGGCUCCCCCCUCUUUUGGUUAAUGGAACUAUAUUAA